AGUUUGAUCCUGGCUCAGAUUGAACGCUGGCGGCAUGCCUUACACAUGCAAGUCGAACGGUAACAGGUUAAGCUGACGAGUGGCGAACGGGUGAGUAAUGUAUCGGAACGUGCCCAGUCUGGGGGAUAACUGCUCGAAAGAGCAGCUAAUACCGCAUACGACCUGAGGGUGAAAGCGGGGGAUCGCAAGACCUCGCGCGAUUGGAGCGGCCGAUAUCAGAUUAGGUAGUUGGUGAGGUAAAGGCUCACCAAGCCGACGAUCUGUAGCUGGUCUGAGAGGACGACCAGCCACACUGGGACUGAGACACGGCCCAGACUCCUACGGGAGGCAGCAGUGGGGAAUUUUGGACAAUGGGCGCAAGCCUGAUCCAGCCAUGCCGCGUGCGGGAAGAAGGCCUUCGGGUUGUAAACCGCUUUUGUCAGGGAAGAAAAGGUUCUGGCUAAUACCUGGGGCUCAUGACGGUACCUGAAGAAUAAGCACCGGCUAACUACGUG
rnacentral:rRNA from 1 species